AUCUGGCAAAGCAAACAGAGAGAUUCACCAAGUGUGACCUACACAACAACUCAGACUUCUGAUGUUUCUGUUUCAGAACCUUCCUGAUUCAGACAUUCCCAGAGCCUCAUUGGUGAAUAACUGGAUUUGCCUGUUCUAGUGUGAACAUGGACAUCAUCGACCAUCCUUCCAUAUCACAGCAGACAGACAGAUUCACAGCUCAUUGUUUACACUGAGUGCUUUGAUGAUGGAGAUUUAUUUUUCCUGGGAAUGUGCUUCCACAGAUUGAAUAGUGGAUCCUGGAUCCACCAGGUUGGGAUCCUGAUUCUUCAAGUGAGACUUUCUC